UAGAUGCGAGAGUAGAGCAUAUCAAUAAGCGGAGGAAAAGAAGCUAACAAGGAUUCCCUUAGUAACGGCGAGUGAAGCGGGAAGAGCUCAAAUUUGAAAUCUUCAAUGGUUCUACCUUGACGAAUUGUAGUUUAAAGAAGUGUUUUCUGUUAGAUGAGUAGCAAAAGUUCCUUGGAAUGGGACAUCAUAGAGGGUGAGAAUCCCGUAUUUGGUUAUUCAUUCUAGCUUUGUGAUACACUUUCAAAGAGUCGGAUUGUUUGGGAAUGCAGUCCAAAAUGGGUGGUAAAUUUCAUCUAAAGCUAAAUAUUGGCGAGAGACCGAUAGCGAACAAGUACCGUGAGGGAAAGAUGAAAAGAACUUUGAAAAGAGAGUUAAACAGUACGUGAAAUUGUCAAAAGGGAAGCGUUUGACACCAGUGUUGUUUUUCCGAAAAUCAAUUACGAAUGGCUUGAUUUUGUGUUGUAUUGACCUUAUCAGCUUUCUUCACUUUUCUCGAGUCUUUCUUAGUGCACUUUUCGGUUAACAAGUCAACAUCAAUUUCUUUUGUUGUAAAAGAGUAUUCGGAAGGUGGCUUUCUUUUCGGAGAAAGUGUUUAUAGCCCUAUACUUCUACAAUCGGAGAGAUUGAGGUCUGCAGCGUAGAUCCUUCGGGGUUAGAUACACUUGUGCUAAGUUGUAGCUUUUCAUAGACAACUUGUUGACUAUGUUUAGUCAUGCGGCUUACUCGCUUAGUGCUAUUUUACCUACGCUUAGGAUGUUGAGCGCAUGUCUCUCUCU
rnacentral:rRNA from 1 species